rnacentral:rRNA from 1 species
GACGAACGCUGGCGGCGUGCUUAACACAUGCAAGUCGAACGGUGAACGAGGGAGCUUGCUCCCUCCGGAUCAGUGGCGAACGGGUGAGUAACACGUGAGCAAUCUGCCCCGAACUCUGGGAUAAGCGUUGGAAACGACGUCUAAUACCGGAUACGACGCGGGAGGGCAUCCUCUCCGCGUGGAAAGAACUUCGGUUCGGGAUGAGCUCGCGGCCUAUCAGCUUGCUGGUGAGGUAACGGCUCACCAAGGCGACGACGGGUAGCCGGCCUGAGAGGGUGACCGGCCACACUGGGACUGAGACACGGCCCUGACUCCUACGGGAGGCAGCAGUGGGGAAUAUUGCACAAUGGGCGCAAGCCUGAUGCAGCAACGCCGCGUGAGGGACGACGGCCUUCGGGUUGUAAACCUCUUUUAGCAGGGAAGAAGCGAAAGUGACGGUACCUGCAGAAAAAGCACCGGCUAACUACGUG